rnacentral:lncRNA from 12 species
AGAGGGAGGCAGACGCGCGUGUGCCUUUGGGCAAGAGGCACAAGCCGGGGUGUGUGUGCGCCUCCGGGGGCUGUGGUUGCAGGAUUCAGCAGCCUCUCCCUGGGCCCCACGGCUCGGCCCUGCCUCCCCUCGCCUGCCUCCUGGGAAGGCGGCGGGGGCCCAGCUGGGGAUGGACGGACAGAAGGACUGGCCCAGCUGGGGCCCCCCCGAGCUUCGGGGUCAUCCUCAUCACCCCUGGGACGUCUUCACCAUCCCCGGGUCGUCCUCGUCACCCCCAGGUCGUCCUCACCACCCCCAGGAGCCCCGUGGCAGAUCCUCCCCAUCCCUGCAGGGGUGCGUGGGGCGUUCCUGUGACUGCAGCCGUGACCUCCCCGUUCAUUCAUAUGCUGGAUCAGAUUUGGGAAAUGCGAUUAAUUGCCUGU